GCCGAUGUAGCUCAGCCGGCAGAGCAACUGAUUCGUAAUCAGUAGGUCACCAGUUCGAUUCUGGUCAUCGGCUCCA
rnacentral:tRNA from 1 species